CACGUAGGGCGCAAGCGUUGUCCGGAAUUAUUGGGCGUAAAGAGCUCGUAGGCGGUUUGUCGCGUCGACUGUGAAAACCCGAGGCUUAACCUCGGGCCUGCAGUCGAUACGGGCAGACUAGAGUUCGGUAGGGGAGACUGGAAUUCCUGGUGUAGCGGUGAAAUGACGCAGAUAUCUGGAGGAACACCGGUGGCGAAGGCGGCAUCCUGGACCAAUAUUGACGCUGAGGAGCGAAAGCCAGGGGA
rnacentral:rRNA from 1 species